GGAGGCAGAGAACCGCGGGCCCGGGGGCCACCCGUCACUUUCAAGUCGCCCCGCCAGAAGCCCAGGGCGAGGAAAAGGAGAGAGACAAAAGGGCGCUGCGGGGGGAGUCCCCACACCCCCCGCGGCCCCGCACACGGCCCGGCUCUUACUCGUAGUGGCGGAAGAUCUCGUUGGUGACUUUACAGUAGAAAACUUCCUCGUCGGGCCGCAGGUCCGCGGGCGGCUUCUGUCUCACAAACGGCUUUCGGUGUAGCAGCGGCAUCUCCCGUCCGCCCGCGGGCUCGCCUGGACCCUCGGCCGCCCGCGCCGGCCCCGCUUCCCUAUCAAAAUUGGAGGGAAAGGAAAGCCGGUAAGGUGGGGAGCCCUCGGCGGCAGCGUGGGCCGGUCCGCGCGCUGGGAGAAGCUCGGCUGCCUUUUGUGUGACUGACGCGCCGCGGCCGCUACCGGAGCCGAGUUCGUUCCUGCCGCUGCCCGGGUGUCGAGCGAGCGGAGCCGCCGCCGCCCCUGCCCCCCGAGCGCGCCCUACCUCCUCUCGGCCUGCCGCCGCCUCACAAUGGGGCAGGACGCCCCGCCGCGGGGGGCAGUGCGGGAGCGGCGGCGGCCCCCUCCCCCAGCGCCGGCUCCUCGCCCGCCGCCGCCGCCAGGCUCACAACGUGCUCGGCGCGCAGCUGGCCGGCCGGCCAGCCCAACGCCGCCAGAGCGCUCGCCGCGGGCGGACCCCGGAGCUGCUCCGCUUUGUUCCCGGCUCGCCUCCACUUCCCGGCCGGCGCCGGCCGGCUCCCGAGCGACCCUCACCUGCGAUCACGCCGACUGCCACUUGUCCACCUUCUCCACUACAAAGGCAACGAGGGGAGACCCCGUCCUCCCAGGGGACCGCCUCUCUCCGGCCCCGCCGCGCCCCUGGCUGCCGCUUCUCCCGCUGCCACUGCCAGACUCCGCGCGGGGAAUUGCGUCCCACCGCCACUUCCCCGCCUCUCGGAGCUCCUGGGAAGUUUCUGAUCUACUUUCGGCUCUGAAGGAGGAAGAGCUGUUGGGAGGAGCUUUUCACUCCUCGCUUCUACCUUUUUAUUGGCUACUCGAUGACUUUUACAGCCUGUCACUGAUACAGGAAGAGACAGCGGAGAGCCUGGGAGAACUACAUUAUUAAUUAAUGGAGCAACCCCUCGUGAAGAUUCAGAAGCAUCCUCCAUGUUUGAGAUUAUCAGCCAAAAGAUCUAGGGAAAGCGCUGGGGGUUCAUAAACACAUGGCUAACAAAGUAAAGCCUUCAAGUCUGGCACAGACGCUUGACUACACGAUGGGAAAAGGGAUUCCAAUUACGAUUUAACUUGUAUUUUAAAGAUGAGAAAAGAAAUGAAUAAGAAAAUUUGUUGCUAUUUUUCUUCUUCCAAAUUAGAAUCUAUAUCUCUAAAAAUACUUUGCAUGUUUAGUAAACAUCCAUCUUGAACAGAAGAUACCUUGACAUCAGUUCUAUUUAAUACUUAUGGCAAUUAAGAGAUUUAGAGAGCAGAGGAAAAGACCAAAAAAAAAAAGUAUGUGUUACAAAGUGUCAUCAUGCUUGUAGGACCCCAGCAUUCUUGAAACUAACGCACCUUUAAAAAGUAAUAUUUACACUGCUGUAAAUAUUUGCAAAGUAUCAAUGUUUAAUUCACUUAGAAUUUUAAGGAUUAUGGAUUUACUAGCGAAAAUUCCCCUAAAGCAACUUUCCCAUAUCAGUAACUUUUAUUUAGGGAAACAAGUUUAAUGUACAUAAUACAUGUGACCUUGGAAUUCAAUAGAAUUUUCGAAACUAGAAGUAACUCAGAACGUUCACUAGAUGUGUUUUAAAGUCUUUUUUGAUACUGUCCUUAACAUUUGCUUAUUUGCAAAUUAAUAUGUAAGAAUGAGUCUAAAAGUAAGUUUUAGGAAUGGUUAUUCGACAAAGAUGUUAUUCCUAUUACCAAUACUGCGAAAUGAUAAUUACAGAAACAAUGUGGGAUCCGUUUUAUAACUUCAAAUUUAAGUUCCUUUGUACUUUGGAGCAGAAAAUGUAAGAAAUCGAAAUCAAGAGUUAGUAUUUUUUAUCUUUCAGGCUGGCUUUAACUGUUCAUACACCUAGCGAAAUAAACAUUUGUGAAAGGC
rnacentral:antisense_RNA from 1 species